UACGGGGGGGGCAAGCGUUGUUCGGAAUUACUGGGCGUAAAGAGCGUGUAGGCGGUCUGGUAGGUCCGUUGUGAAAACUCGAGGCUCAACCCCGAGACGCCGAUGGAAACCCUCAGACUAGAGUCCGGAAGAGGAGAGUGGAAUUCCUGGUGUAGCGGUGAAAUGCGCAGAUAUCAGGAAGAACACCCGUGGCUAAGGCGGCUCUCUAGUACGUGACUGACGCUGAGACGCGAAAGCGUGGGGAGCAAACAGG
rnacentral:rRNA from 1 species